rnacentral:rRNA from 1 species
UAACGGCCUACCAAGGCGACGACGGGUAGCCGGCCUGAGAGGGCGACCGGCCACACUGGGACUGAGACACGGCCCAUACUCCUACGGGAGGCAGCAGUGGGGAAUAUUGCGCAAUGGGCGAAAGCCUGACGCAACGACGCCUCGUGGGGGAUGAAGGCCUUCGGGUUGUAAACCCCUUUCAGCAAGGACGAAGCGAAAGUGACGGUACCUGCAGAAGAAGCGCCGGCUAACUACCUGCCAGCAGCCGCGGUAACACGUAGGGCGCAAGCGUUGUCCGGAAUUAUUGGGCGUAAAGAGCUCGUAGGCGGUCUGUUGCGUCCGCUGUGAAAUCUCGGGGCUUAACCCCGAUCCUGCAGUGGAUACGGGCAGACUAGAGGUAGGUAGGGGAGAAUGGAAUUCCCGGUGUAGCGGUGAAAUG